AUUGAACGCUGGCGGCAGGCUUAACACAUGCAAGUCGAGCGAGCGGCGGAAGGGUGAGUAAUGUCGGGGAACCUGCCUGAUGGAGGGGGAUAACUACGGGAAACGGUAGCUAAUCCCGCAAACAAUGAGAUGUGCCCAGAUGGGAUUAGGUAGUAGGUGGGGUAAUGGCUCACCUAGGCGACGAUCCCUCGCUGGUCUGAGAGGAUGAACAGCCACCAUGGAACUGAGACACGGUCCAGACUCCUACGGGAGGCAGCAGUGGGGAAUAUUGCACAAUGGGCGCAAGCCUGAUGCAGCCAUGCCGCGUGUGUGAAGAAGGCCUUCGGGUUGUAAAGCACUUUCAGCGAGGAGGCGGUACUCGCAGAAGAAGCACCGGCUAACUCCGUGCCAGCAGCCGCGGUAAUAC
rnacentral:rRNA from 1 species